AUCUGGUUGAUCCUGCCAGCGGCCACUGCUAUCGGGGUUCGCUUAAGCCAUGCGAGUCGAGAGGGGUUAAGCCCUCGGCAGACUGCUCAGUAACACGUGGAGAACUUGCCCUAUGCUGGAGGAUAACCUCGGGAAACUGAGAAUAAUACUCCAUAGAUCACCCUUCCUGGAACGGUGGGUGGUUGAAAGCUCCGGCGGCGUAGGAUAGCUCUGCGGCCUAUCAGGUAGAAGGGAGGGUAACGUCCUCCCUUGCCUACGACGGGUAUGGGUGUUGGGAGACAUCGCCCAGAGAUGGACUCUGAGACACGAGUCCAGGCCCUACGGGGCGCAGCAGGCGCGAAAACUGCACAAUGUAGGAAACUACGAUGCGGGAACCCCGAGUGUAUGCACAAUGUGUAUACUGUCCUCAACGGUUCAUUUGUUGAGAAGAAAGUGCUGGGUAAGACGGGUGCCAGCCGCCGCGGUAAUACCCGCAGCACGAGUGGUGGUCAUUUUUAUUGGGCCUA
rnacentral:rRNA from 1 species